rnacentral:lncRNA from 1 species
UUAAUUUCUACUAAUUUUAUCUACCCUGCCCCUGCCCCUACCCCUACCUAAUCUUACCCCUAUACUGGCACACCCACGUGCGCCCUCCAUUUGGUCAACAAAAAAACAAAUACUACAGUCACUCACAGAAGACACAGAUUACACACAUUACAUUAUCUACACAAGAUAACACUACACAGGGGGAUUCUCGGCACAAUUUUUGUCCACCAAACACACUGCCAUAAACACCUUCACAUAUUCACACACAUCUCCAUCUCCAUCUCCAUUCUUUUCAUGGAUUAGCAACAACCCAAUUCACAGACACAACCUCACUUUCACAGUCAUAGACAUACGACACACGGGAAAAUAAAAAAGAGGGUGAAGGACGAGAUUGAGGGAAGAGAAUAACAUGAGAGAGGAAAGGACAAAGAGAAUCGAGUGAAUGGGGUUGAAUGGAGAGAGAGAGGAGAUCGAGAGAUUUGAGGAGAGAGAGAUUGAGAUCCAGGGAGAUGAACGGAGAAGGGGUAACAGAAUAAAUCCGGCGUUUUGACUGUUUUUCUAGCGAACCUUUUCGCCAGAAUUGGUUUACAGUUGUCCGAGUAUUAUUUCCUUGAUACCGAGUUGGAUUCUUGUUCGCUGUUGAACUUCUAUUCAGAAUUUCAACUCCGGGCUUUCUUGAACAUUAUUACCAACGAAAUCUAUUCUUCGAAGGUCUAAUUCUAUCUUCUCUCCCUCUAAUGUUACGUAAUUAUGAAUGAUUUGUGUGUUUGACAUGUUUGAAUCUUUGUCUUGUUGGUUAAUGUUGGAUUUGAAUGCGAAAACUUGUUUGGUGGAUUGCGUAUUGAAUUUGUUUAAUCAUGUUGAGAAUGGAUGUGGGGUUGAGAAUUGAAAACCGAUAGGAAAUGAGUGUAUUGGUUCAUAUCGAUUAAUUCAUGUUUAUUUGAUGCACAAUAGGCGUCAAUUUGCUAAGUUUGAUAAUAUCCUAGUAUGCAAAUGCUAAGUCGGGUGGCCAAUUUUAGGAGUGGUAUUUUGUUGAAAGUUUGAAUGUGCGUGUGAACAUUUCUUUAUACUUUAUCGCAUAAGCUUUGAUGAUGUAUUCAUUCACCAGGGAAUGUCAUGAGAUUAUGUUGUACUUAUUCAAUGGGGAAUGUCCCGAAGUAUUUUGUACUCGGAGGACGUCCGUGACAAAGGCUCGAGGCAUCGGGUAAAGUGUUGGAGCGUAGUUUAGGAUUAGUGUAGAUUAACGUAGGUUUACAUUUAUCCAUUUUUCUAUUUUAGGAUUGUAUAAUUGGACUGGACAUUAUAUUUUUUGCAAUUCAUUUUGUUUGUGUUGGUGUGUUUAAUUGUUGUGUGUUUAUGUGGUUUAUACAUUCCGUAGACACUUAAUUUUGUCCCUCCUGAAGUCUAAUUUUAUUCAUUUUUAGUUCACCUUACCAUGUGUCCAACCCCAUGUAAUUAUAUCCCACAAAAAUACAAAAAUAAACAAAAAAACAAUACCUCUAACUAAUUUAUCUUAUCCUAACAACCUACCCAAUCAAAAGCUUCCACCUCCCUAACCACUCACAUUUUUAUCCUCACAAUAACAAACUAAAAAAAAGAAUAUAUGGGGGACCCACCAAAAUUUUCACAUCAUAACAAAUUCAUGCCCAUUAUAAAAGAAAAAUUCUAAGAGGGCAAAAGGGGAGGCUUAUUCUUUGAUCAUCAUCUUCUCCAUAAUAACAACAAUCGCAAAAUAAUCUUCCUCACAAGAACAACAACAACAACAAAAAAAAGGGACGCUGGUGAAUAGUAAUCGGUGAACAGUAACAACGUGAAAAGUGACGGUGAACGGGUCAUUAUUUGUCGAGUUGGAUUAUUGGUGUUAAGGUUCGGCUCGAGGUUUCCGGGUGCGGACUUUCUUUAUUCGAAUAACAUUGAGUUUGAAAGCUUCAAAUUUAAGGUCCAAUUCUUUCUUCUCUUUUAAUUAAUUCUUAUGUGAUUGUGAUUGUGUGUGAUUCGAUACCGUGGUUUGUUUGUUGAUGUGAAUUGUUGGUGACAUUUGGGUGUGUGAUGUGCUAAGCAUGAUUGGUGAAUUUUCGUUAUUCUCGAUUGGUGGAUUGUGUAUUGAAAUGAAUUAAUCACGUGGUUGAAAAUGAAUUAAGGUAGGGAUUAAAAAUGGAGGAAAAUUAACAUUGAUUAAUUUUGAUGUAUUGAUAAUGUUGAACAUGAUAGAAUUGUGAUACGUUGAACUUGGUAGGCAAACGUAGGCCGGGUAGGCAAAUUUAGGAAUAACGAUUUGUUGGAGUGUUUGAAUAUGUGUGUGAAUGGUACUUUCUACUUUAUUGCACGAAAAGGUUAAAUUGUACUCAUUUGGUCGGGGAAUGCCCCGAAGUAGCAUGUACGCAAAGGAGGCUCGUGAUCAAGGCCCGGAACGUUGGGUGGAGUUUAGUUUAGGAUUAGUUUAGAAUAAAAUAAGUUUUAUAUUUCAGCACCUCUUUUAUUUUGAAUUGUAUAAUUUGGACUGAACAUUAUUUUGGUUUGUUUUGAAUUUUGUGUGAUUUGUUUGUUUGCUUGUUUUGUGUGUUUAUGUGGUUUGUACAUUUGUAAUGUCAAAUUAGCCGAUACGAUUCACCAAGCGACCGUGGUCGAAUCACAGGAUCGAGGGGUGCCUAACACCUUCCCCUCGGUCAACAGAAUUCCUUAGCCGGAAUCUCUGUUCGCGGAUCAGUUUUUAGAGUCAAACCGUUUUGAAAAGGAUUUUUCAAAGGUGACUUGACACACCGGAUUAUGUCAAAUGGCGACUUUGAAUAAAAAAAAAAUAGUAAUGUAAAUAAUUCUUUUUUUUUUCAAAACAAAUUUUUCAUUUUUGUCACUUUAAUAAUAAAACCCUUUCGAACUUAAAAUACAUUUCUUUUUUUUGGAGUCGAAAAAGGGGUGUGACAACUCUGGCGACUCUGCUGGGGAACUUGUUCAGAAUUCGAGCUUAUUUUGGAGUCGUAUCGGCUUUGUUUGGCACUAUAGGUGUAUAAACAUUUUUUUUUGUGUGUUGUUUUGUGUUAUUAUUUUAUCAUUAUGGAAUGUUUUCGUGCUAUUUGUAUACAGUGUUUAUCCUAUAUGUUACCGCUUUUAUAUCUGGCAUCAUGUGUCUACCCCCAAGCCUUUUUUCUGCAACAAGUUCGUAGUACACGUGUUGUACACGACCUCUAGUUGAAUCACCCUUAUUUUAGGGGGGGAGCCGUCGGUGUUAUGGAGUAGGUAGAAAGCAAAGCAGUCAUUAUCGACCAUACGCUCUCCCGAACACCCUUGUUAGUAAACCCCAAUGUAGGUCAGCCUUUAGGUCAUGCUUAUGUGCAUCAUAUUGAGACCUAGCGGGGCCCACUUGGUCCUUUGUAGGAGAUUCACCUCUAAAGCAUCUCUACGUGCUAAAUGUUGCAUCUUUGAGAAUAACGUGGUCAUUUGAUGGAUUGAUUUGGGAAAACAUGUGUUAGAAGUAAUAUGUGUGAGUAAUGAAAAAAAAAAUAAGAAAAAAAAAGAGUUUCGUAGCUUUUAGAGUUUUUUAUGACUUUUAUUUUUCAAAAUUCCAAAAUUCAAAAGGACUUUUUUACCUCCCGCACUCAUUUUCUCAAAAAUAUCAAAAAGAUUUUCCUUUGUCUCGUUUAGCAUGCAUUCACAAUUCGAAAACUUCAAAAAGAUUUUUUCAUUCAUAGGAUGUGUUUAUAAAAGAAAAAUUAAAAAAAAAAAAAGAUGUUAGAAAUUUUUUACAUUUCGUAUAACGAAAAUACCAAAAAGAUUUUUCUUUCAUAGUUGUUGAUAUCAUUUUUCUGUGAAGUAUCAAAAUGAAAACUCAAAAGAUUUUAUUAACAUGGUUCAUCGUCUGUCUUUGGUCGUAUCUCUUAAGUCAGGGUCUAGCCUGUUAUUUCAUCAUUAAUUGUCCAAUCUGGAUGAACUACGCACCCCUGAUUCUCCUCUUUUGGGAGUGAGAUACGUAGGCAGCCUAUUGUUGGUUCGGGGAUCUUAUUUGAAAAAUCCAAAAAAUAUUUCUUCACUCUCCAUUUAGAGUAGGCGUUUAAUAUACGUCUUUAAAAGAAAACUACAAAAAGAUUUUCCUUUAAUAGGUUCAAGUUUCAUUUUCACAUGAACUUCAAAAAUCGAAAAUCCAAAAAGAUUUUUCUUUGGUAAUCACAGGUUUUAUUUUUUAUAGAGAUUUAAACCUAAAAAAAAAAAGAUUUUCGUCAAUUCUUUUGACACUUUGUUUCAAGAAAGAAAAAAGAGUUUAAUUGGCCAUUUUGGCAAAACUUCACGAACUACGCACACCUGAUUCUCCCCUUUUGGGGGUGAGAUACAUAGGCACCCUUGUUGGGUUCGGUGAUCUUUUCAAGAAAAAAAAGACGUUUUAAAAAAAAACUGUUGAACUCUUGCAUCACCUGAUUUUCCUCUCUCGGGGGUGAGAUACGUAGGCUGCCUUACUCUGGGCUCGGUCCAACCAAAUAAAUAAUUUAGAAUUGCCCAGUUAAAAGAAAUUGGGGCAUGAGUUAAUACUCAUUGUUUGAGUCAAUUUCAAAAGUUGUAAGUCCCACCCCACUUUAAGUGUCGUUUGGGCCUCAUGCCACCCUUUCUUUCUAACCAUAUCCAAAAGCCAAGUUACAGCCAAAGAAAAACCUUCAAAAUAAAUCUUUGAAAAUGUUAAGGCUAAGCAUGUAAUGGAUGUGAUGAUGCAUUUAGGCACUACUUGUUUUCUGCAGCAUAAGAAAUCAGGAGAGAAAUAAAAAUGAGAGAGUCUUAUUGGUGAAAACCCUCACAGGUACCAUAAGAUGAUGGUAAGUUGAGAGAUAAAAAUGAGAGAGUCUUAUUGAUGAAAACCCUCACGGGAACUGUAAGACGACUGUGAGUUGAGAGAAAUGAAAAUAAGAGAGUCUCGUUAGUGAAAAAAACUCUCGGAUACCGUAAGGCAAUGGUGAGGUGAUAAAAAAGAAAACAAGAGAAGAUUGUUGGCAAAAAUCCUUCAAGGCUCUACUAGCCGAAUGAGGUCUCCGAAUGCAAUUGGCCCAAGGAAGCAUCUCAGUUUCAGGGUCAUUAACUCAACAACAAUUUAUGAGAAUUUUGGAUGGAAAAUCAGGCAGUUUAAUUCGAUAUGCAUGUCAUAAUCAUUAGAGUUGACUGUCAUUUCCAGAUAAACUUUUCUUUUAUCUUUUUCAAAUGUGGACGUUCAUUGUCUUUUCUUUCUUCUAUGCGUUUUUAUUUUAUUUUUUUGAGUUAGUUAUCCAAAUAAAAAAAAUCAUUGUCAUUUUUUCUCUUGUCUUUGAGUCAAGUCCAUAUUAAAACAAGUGAGAAAAGAUUUCAAAACUGGCUCCCAGCUUCUUCAAUUGCACAAAGUAAAACAAAGGGCCAACACAUGAAAUAAACAAGAUUGCAAAUCAGAACAAGACACGCAACAAGUUUUUGUCAACACACAAAUUUGGAGAAUUCAUGGAAAUACUGAAGUUUAAAGGGGAUUGUCUGAGAAACAUAGCAAAGCAGAGAUACUGUUGUUUGUUUCAGAGUCACUCUUAAUAUUUUGAGUGUGAACCAACGGUGCAACAAGGCAAUGGAAAAAGCUAAUGAUGGGAAGCAAGAUCUAAAUGGGAAAAGUGAAAGAGAAAUCUUCUCGAAUGCCAAAGCCGCAUGCCAACCACCCUAUUUUAAACUCACAAGUUUUCUUUGUAUGAAACAAGAACAACUGCUGUCUUCAAAUCGAAGGCUUCAAAUCGCGAAUAUUCAGAUGUGCAAUUCCUCAUUUCUGCAAAUGCAAAAGUAGUGUUGUUGUACAGGUUUGAUAAUCACAAUUUUGGUAAAACUCGUCAUUUUUGUACACCUAAGAGACACAUUCUCUAAUUUGAGUCUUUUAUGUCUCAUGGCUAGAGGGUGAUUUUCAUAAUUUGAGUUGUUAAUCCUAAGAAAUGAACUCUUAGUGAGAAUCUUUCACCUUUACUCUUUAGAGAGGGGCUUGUUGGUUUCAAGCAUUCAACUUUACCCUAAAAAAGGUGCAUUUAUUGAUCAGAAUCUUGAUUUAUCUUUGCAUUAUGCAUUGUCGCAAGUAGUUGUGAUUGCGUUUGACACCCGCAAAAGCUUUUGAUGAUGAACUGGGGUAAAAAGAAAAUUUAAUUCCUGUUAUUUGAAACUUAUGUUCAGGAUCCUCCUGAAAAAUGGGAAUUUACUUUAUGUUCUAAACCCUCCUGGAAAAUGGUAACUUACUUUAUGUUCAGGACUCUCUGAAAAAUUAGAAUUUACUUUAUAUUCGGGACCCUCCUGGAAAAUGAAAAUUUACUUUAUAUUCGGGACCCUCCUGAAAAAUGGAAACUUACUUUAUGUUCAGGACCCUCCUGAAAAAUGAAAAUUUACUUUUUGUUCAGGACCCUCCUGGAAAAUGGAAACUUACUUUAUGUUCAGGACCCUCCUGGAAAAAUAAAAAUUUACUUUGUGUACAGGACCCUCUUGAAAAAUGGAAACUCACAUUAUUUCAGGACCCUCCUGAAAAAUGAGAACAUUAUAUUCAAGACCCUCCUGAAAAAUAAAAAUUUAUAUUAUGUUCAGGACCCUCCUGAAAAAUGGGAGUUUACCUUUAUAUUCACGACCCUCCUGGAAAAUGGGAACUUACUUUCAUCCAGGACCCUCCUGAAAAAUGAAAACUUACUUUAUAUUCAGGACCCUCCUUGAAAAUGGGAAUUUACUUUAUGUUCAGGACCCUCCUGAAAAAUGGAAAUUUAUUUUAUGUGCAGGACCCUCCUGAAAUAUAAAAAUUUACUUUAUGUUCAGACCCUCCUGGAAAAUGGGACAUUAUCUUAUGUUCAGGACUCUCCUGAAAAAUAAGACAUUACUUUAUGUUCAGGACCCUCCUGGAAAAUAGGACAUUACUUUAUGUUCAGGACCCUCCUGGAAAAUGGGACAUUACUUUAUGUUUAGGAUCCGCUUGAAAAAUAGGACACUACUUAAAAAAAAUAAAUGAAUGAAAUCUUUCUUUAUCAUAAUCUUUGUUUGGAAUAAUUUUCGUUCUAGUUUUGAUUUUGAUUUUAGGAGCCCGCCUGAAGAACAAGGUGAUGAAGCUGUAAGUCAGGAGCCCGCCUGAAGAACAGGGUGAUAAAAUUGCAAGUCAGGAGCCCGCCUGAUGAACAGGGUGAUGAAAUUAAAAGUCGGGAGCUCACUCGGAGAACAAAGUGAGAAAAUUCCAAGUCAGGAGCCCGCUUGAAGAACAGGGUGAUGAAAUUAAAGUGUUAUCUCUAAGUGUUAGUUUUGUUCCUCACUAACACGUUGAGUCUAUAUCUAGAUUUGAGCUUUAAAAAUUGAUGUUGUUGUUGUGAACAUAAGACUUGGCUGAAUUAUUGUUGAAACAUUAUUAUGGUGG